GAUGAACGCUGGCGGCGUGCUUAACACAUGCAAGUCGAACGAUGAAGCCCAGCUUGCUGGGUGGAUUAGUGGCGAACGGGUGAGUAACACGUGAGUAACCUGCCCUUAACUCUGGGAUAAGCCUGGGAAACUGGGUCUAAUACCGGAUAGGAGCGUCCACCGCAUGGUGGGUGUUGGAAAGAUUUAUCGGUUUUGGAUGGACUCGCGGCCUAUCAGCUUGUGGGUGAGGUAAUGGCUCACCAAGGCGACGACGGGUAGCCGGCCUGAGAGGGUGACCGGCCACACUGGGACUGAGACACGGCCCAGACUCCUACGGGAGGCAGCAGUGGGGAAUAUUGCACAAUGGGCGCGAGCCUGAUGCAGCGACGCCGCGUGUGGGAUGACGGCCUUCGGGUUGUAAACCUCUUUCAGUAGGGAAGAAGCGAAAGUGACGGUACCUGCAGAAGAAGCACCGGCUAACUACGUG
rnacentral:rRNA from 1 species